rnacentral:miRNA from 1 species
AGGCAGCCGUCGGCAGCGGCAGC